rnacentral:rRNA from 1 species
UACGGAGGGUGCAAGCGUUAAUCGGAAUUACUGGGCGUAAAGCGCACGCAGGCGGCUUGUUAAGUCAGAUGUGAAAUCCCCGGGCUCAACCUGGGAACUGCAUCUGAUACUGGCAAGCUUGAGUCUCGUAGAGGGGGGUAGAAUUCCAGGUGUAGCGGUGAAAUGCGUAGAGAUCUGGAGGAAUACCGGUGGCGAAGGCGGCCCCCUGGCC